CCAUCUUUUCUGAAUCUCGGGGUCUUAUAAUGGAACUCACUCCUUUCACGAUCAGUGGUUCUCUUUGCAUAUACUUCAGUGCUUCACCCGGGUUCUCCUUCAAGGUGCCUAUUUCCAUCAUUGCUUGGCUUUUUAGCUUGUAGUAUCUAUCAUUAAAAAUCAUCCCCACGACGUGUGUGUUACUGUGAUUAGGAAGUGGAUUAUCGGUCACAUUCGGUGCUUCUUCUUUUUGUAUU
rnacentral:lncRNA from 1 species